rnacentral:sRNA from 1 species
GCUGGGCAUGGUGGCGCGUGCCUGUAAUCCCAGCUACUCAGGAGGCUGAGGCAGGAGAAUUGCUUGAACCCAGGAGGCAUAGGUUGCGGUGAGCCGAGAUCGCGCCAUUGCACUCCAGCCUGGGUAACAAGAGCGAAACUCCGUCUCAA